rnacentral:rRNA from 1 species
UUUAUUUGAUUUCCUUCGGGACUGAUUAUUUUGUGACUGAGUGGCGGACGGGUGAGUAACGCGUGGGUAACCUGCCUUGUACAGGGGGAUAACAGUUGGAAACGGCUGCUAAUACCGCAUAAGCGCACGGCAUCGCAUGAUCCAGUGUGAAAAACUCCGGUGGUACAGGAUGGACUCGCGUCCAAUUAGCUAGUUGGUGAGGUAACGGCCCACCAAGGCGACGAUUGGUAGCCGGACUGAGAGGUUGAACGGCCACAUUGGAACUGAGACACGGUCCAAACUCC